rnacentral:misc_RNA from 1 species
GAUGAAGAACGUAGCGAAAUGCGAUAAGUAGUGUGAAUUGCAGAAUUCAGUGAAUCAUCGAAUCUUUGAACGCACAUUGCGCCCCUUGGUAUCCCGAGGGGCACGCCUGUUCGAGCGUCAUUUCACCACUCAAGCCUGGCUUGGUGUUGGGCGACGUCCUCUUUGGGGACGCGCCUCGAAACGCUCGGCGGCGUGGCACCGGCUUUAAGCGUAGCAGAAUCUUUCGCUUUGGAAGUCGGGGCCCCGUCUGCCGGAAGACCUGCUCGCAAGGUUGACCUCGGAUCAGGCAGGGAUACCCGCUGAACUUAAGCAUAUCAAUAAGCGGAGGA